rnacentral:ncRNA from 2 species
AGCCGCGUAGUGGGAGAGACCAGCCGUAAAAAGCUGGCGCCGAAGGAGCAACCGCCCCGGAAACUCUCAGGCAAAAGGACCCUGCGCUCUA